UUGCUGCAGCAGUACAUAUAAUAAAAUUGGAAGGAUACAGGGAAGAUUAACAUGGCCUCCAUGCAAAGGAUGAUGUGCAAAUUAAUGAAGCGUUCCAUAUUUCU